UCCUGGCUCAGGACGAACGCUGGCGGCGUGCCUAAUACAUGCAAGUCGAACGAACUCUGGUAUUGAUUGGUGCUUGCAUCAUGAUUUACAUUUGAGUGAGUGGCGAACUGGUGAGUAACACGUGGGAAACCUGCCCAGAAGCGGGGGAUAACACCUGGAAACAGAUGCUAAUACCGCAUAACAACUUGGACCGCAUGGUCCGAGCUUGAAAGAUGGCUUCGGCUAUCACUUUUGGAUGGUCCCGCGGCGUAUUAGCUAGAUGGUGGGGUAAUGGCUCACCAUGGCAAUGAUACGUAGCCGACCUGAGAGGGUAAUCGGCCACAUUGGGACUGAGACACGGCCCAAACUCCUACGGGAGGCAGCAGUAGGGAAUCUUCCACAAUGGACGAAAGUCUGAUGGAGCAACGCCGCGUGAGUGAAGAAGGGUUUCGGCUCGUAAAACUCUGUUGUUAAAGAAGAACAUAUCUGAGAGUAACUGUUCAGGUAUUGACGGUAUUUAACCAGAAAGCCACGGCUAACUACGUGCCAGCAGCCGCGGUAAUACGUAGGUGGCAAGCGUUGUCCGGAUUUAUUGGGCGUAAAGCGAGCGCAGGCGGUUUUUUAAGUCUGAUGUGAAAGCCUUCGGCUCAACCGAAGAAGUGCAUCGGAAACUGGGAAACUUGAGUGCAGAAGAGGACAGUGGAACUCCAUGUGUAGCGGUGAAAUGCGUAGAUAUAUGGAAGAACACCAGUGGCGAAGGCGGCUGUCUGGUCUGUAACUGACGCUGAGGCUCGAAAGUAUGGGUAGCAAACAGGAUUAGAUACCCUGGUAGUCCAUACCGUAAACGAUGAAUGCUAAGUGUUGGAGGGUUUCCGCCCUUCAGUGCUGCAGCUAACGCAUUAAGCAUUCCGCCUGGGGAGUACGGCCGCAAGGCUGAAACUCAAAGGAAUUGACGGGGGCCCGCACAAGCGGUGGAGCAUGUGGUUUAAUUCGAAGCUACGCGAAGAACCUUACCAGGUCUUGACAUACUAUGCAAAUCUAAGAGAUUAGACGUUCCCUUCGGGGACAUGGAUACAGGUGGUGCAUGGUUGUCGUCAGCUCGUGUCGUGAGAUGUUGGGUUAAGUCCCGCAACGAGCGCAACCCUUAUUAUCAGUUGCCAGCAUUAAGUUGGGCACUCUGGUGAGACUGCCGGUGACAAACCGGAGGAAGGUGGGGAUGACGUCAAAUCAUCAUGCCCCUUAUGACCUGGGCUACACACGUGCUACAAUGGAUGGUACAACGAGUUGCGAACUCGCGAGAGUAAGCUAAUCUCUUAAAGCCAUUCUCAGUUCGGAUUGUAGGCUGCAACUCGCCUACAUGAAGUCGGAAUCGCUAGUAAUCGCGGAUCAGCAUGCCGCGGUGAAUACGUUCCCGGGCCUUGUACACACCGCCCGUCACACCAUGAGAGUUUGUAACACCCAAAGUCGGUGGGGUAACCUUUUAGGAACCAGCCGCCUAAGGUGGGACAGAUGAUUAGGGUGAAGUCGUAACA
rnacentral:rRNA from 1 species